AUGGGGCCUGGUCUUGACACCAACAUGGGACCUGGUCUCGGAGCUGCCGUCAGCCACGGUCUUGGAGGCAACGUUGGGGCCAACGUUGACCCUGGGCUUGGAGUGAACGUUGGACGUGGUCUUGGAGACGGUGUUGGACACGGUCUGGGCGCCGCCGGUGGCACCGGAGCGGGGAUGGGCGUAGGAGCCGGCAUCAGGGUGGACGUUGGCCUCGGGGUGGCAGCCGGCGCUGACGUUGGCCCCAACCUCGGGGCUGACAUUGGAGCUGCUCUGGGAGCUGGCGACAACGGAGAAGACGUUGGAGCUGGUCUCCAAGCCAACGGCGGAGGAGAUGGUCUUGGAGCUGGCGUCGCACUCAGCGUCGGGGCCAACGUGGGGCCCGCUCUGGGUGGUGGCAUCAGAGCCAGCGUCGGGCUGGGCAUCGGGGCCGUGGGGCCCGCUCUUCCAUCCGAUGUGGGUGCUGGCGUCGGACUCGCCAUCGGAGCCAACGUCGGAGCCAACGUUGGUUCAAGUCUUGGAUCUGCUGGUGGACUCGGCCUUGGGGCCGCUCUUGGAGCCAACGUUGGCUCCGCCCUUUCAUCCAGCGUCGGAUCCGGCGUCGGACUCGCCGUCGGAGCCAACGUUGGUUCUUCUCUUGGAUCCGGUGUCGGACUCGCCGUCGGAGCUGCCGUCGGAGCCAAUGUUGGUUCUUCUCUUGGAUCCAGUGUCGGACUCGCUGUCGGAGCUGGUGUUGGAGCCAACGUUGGCUCUUCUCUUGGAUCCGGUGUUGGCUCCGGUCUCGGAUCCGGCGUUGGACUCACCAUCGGAGCCAACGUUGGUUCUUCUCUUGGCUCAAGUGUCGGACUCACCGUCGGAGCUGGUGUCGGAGCCAACGUUGGCUCUUCUCUUGGAACUGGUGUUGGACUUGCCUCUGGAGCCAACGUUGCCUCCAGUCUUGGAUCCGGUGUUGGACUCACCAUCGGAGCCAACAUUGGUUCUUCUCUUGGAUCUGAAGUUGGACUCACCAUCGGAGCCGGCGUCGGAGCCAACGUUGGUUCUUCUCUUGCAUCAAGUGUUGGACUCACCGUUGGAGCCAACAUUGGUUCUUCUCUUGGAUCAAGCGUUGGACUCGCCGUUGGAGCCAACAUUGGUUCUUCUCUUGCAUCAAACGUUGGACUCGCCGUUGGAGCCAACGUUGGUUCUUCUCUUGGAUCAAGCGUUGGACUCGCCGUCGGAGCCAACGUUGGCUCUUCCCUCGCAUCCGACGUCGACGUUGGGGUUGGACUCGCUGUCGGAGCCAAUGUUGGCUCUUCCCUCGCAUCCGACGUCGCAUCCGGCGUCGGACUCGGCAUGGGAGCCGCCGUCGGAGCCAACCUCGGUGCCAGCGUCGCUUCCGGCCUCGGAUCCGGCGCGGGAUUGGGCCUCGGAGCCAACGUCGGCCCCGCUCCCGCAUCCGACGUCGCCGGUGGCUCCGCGUUGGGAUUCGCCGUCGGAGCCGCUCUCGGAGCCAACGUUGGCCUUUCCCUGGGGGCCACCAAUGGGGAAUCUCCUCUUGGACUGGGGGGCGGAGCCAAUAUGGCCGCCGAUGUCCCAUCCGGUGUCCCAUCCGCCGUGGGAGCCACCCUUGGCCUUGGCCCCAACCUUGACCCUCCUCUUGGCCCCGCUCUUGGAACCACCGGCCUCGGGACCACCCUCGGCCCCUCCUUGGGUCCCCCCAUGGGGGCCGCCGUGGGGCUGGCGGUGGGCCCCCCCCGUUUAAGUUCGGGCUUGGGGGUCCCCGAAACGCCGGGGGGAGCCACCGAAACUUGGACCCCCCCUUACACCCCCCGCCAAGCUCCACCUUUCGCUUUCGGACCCCCC
ensembl:lncRNA